rnacentral:rRNA from 1 species
GACGAACGCUGGCGGCGUGCCUAAUACAUGCAAGUCGAACGCAGUGGGGACGGGUGAGUAACACGUGGGUAACCUCCCAUCAGAGGGGAUAACACUUGGAAACAGGUGCUAAACCGAUACUGAUGGAUGGACCCGCGGUGCAUUAGGUAGUUGGUGAGGUAACGGCUCACCAAGGCCACGAUGCAUAGCGGGCCUGAGAGGGGGAUCGGCAACACUGGGAUUGAGAAACGGCCCAGACUCCUACGGGAGGCAGCAGUGGGGAAUCUUGGGCAAUGGACGAAAGCCGGACGGAGCAACGCCGCGUGAGUGAAGAGGGUUUUCGGAUCGUAAAAUUCUGUUGUUGGAGAGGCGGUAUCUAACCAGAAAGCCACGGCUAACUACGUGCCAGCAGCCGCGGUAAUUC